UACAGAGGGGGCAAGCGUUAUUCGGAAUUAUUGGGCGUAAAGGGCGCGUAGGCGGCCCGGUAAGUCAAAGGUGAAAUCCCUCGGCUCAACUGAGGAACUGCCUUUGAAACUGUCGGGCUUGAGGCCGGGAGGGGGUAGCGGAAUUCCCAGUGUAGCGGUGAAAUGCGUAGAUAUUGGGGAGGAACACCGGUGGCGAAGGCGGCUACCUGGACCGGUUCUGACGCUGAUGCGCGAAAGCGUGGGUAGCAAACAGG
rnacentral:rRNA from 1 species